rnacentral:lncRNA from 1 species
AUGGGUUAUAAAAAACCUAUCAUUUUCGUUUCAGAUGCCAGGGGCGAGCUGAAAAAGAAGGCUUUUUGCAUACCCUGCUGCUCUGCCUGGGAGGUUCCAAUCUCAAGGCUAUAUGAGGAAUUUUCCCACAUGUCUGCAUUGCUUUGUCUGUCAUUUUUCUGCAGACGAGCCAUGAACCUCAAGGAGUCAGCCCAGAAAGACAUACCACCUCAGGGGUACCCUGAGAGGCAUUCCAGCUCAGAAGAGAUCAAAGAUAACAGCCCGUUGCAAUCCCUGGAGAGCUCAAGGGGCUCUUCACUUAGGACCACUCUUCACAGGACCGUGAGGUGAUUGACUGUAAGUCAGUACUUUUCCAUCCUAGCUGUGGUUCAGAUAAGGCAAUUUUUGUAUUUUCCACCACCAGCAGUGACAUCCUUGUACCUUCCAGAGAGUAUAGUUCUCUUACUUCCCAGACUGGGCUUCAAUCCAGGUUGCAGGGUCCAAGACGUGUUCGGCGAGUUUGUGCUCACCCAUUAUGCUUGCUGCCCACAGACAAUAGAGGGAUGAUUUAACAUUAGUUAAUCUUGAACCAUAGCUGAGUUGGGGAAAGAGCUACUCUACCGCAGUUCUUUAUUACUCCUGUUUCUUUCAUCAAACUUUUCCAUACCUUGUGGUAUUUCUGUUUAAUAAUGAUUAUAGAUUAUUUUAUAGAUUAUUACUAUGUUGACUUUCUUUCAUGCCAAAAUGAAUUCAGGAGAGGAAUGGCCAGCCAGCCCUGAAAAUGAGAGUCAGAGUCAUCUUAAACAUAUUACUAAAACAAGCUUGUUUUGUGAUUUUAUGACACAAAAGAAUUCCACCUAAAUAACACCCCUUUACAUUUCUAGAAUGUUUAGUGGUG